GGUCCGAUGGUGUAGUUGGUUAUCACUUCUGUCUAACAAAUUUCCUAAUGGGGAUAAGUGUAACACAGGCGGUCCUCAGUUCGAACCUGGGUCGGAUCA